rnacentral:rRNA from 1 species
GGAGGCGGGCGAGCGUUGUUCGGAAUUACUGGGCGUAAAGGGCGCGUAGGCGGUUGGGACAAGUCAGGUGUGAAAGCCCCGGGGCUCAACCUGGGAAUGGCGCUUGAAACUGUCCAUCUUGAGUUCAGGAGGGGAGAGUGGAAUUCCCGGUGUAGCGGUGAAAUGUGUAGAUAUCGGGAAGAACACCGGUGGCGAAGGCGGCUCUCUGGACUGUGACUGACGCUGAGGCGCGAAAGCUGGGGGAGCGAACGGGAUUAGAUACCCCGGUAGUCCCAGCCGUAAACGAUGGACACUAGGUGUAGGGGGUGCUCGAAUCCUCUGUGCCGCAGCUAACGCAUUAAGUGUCCCGCCUGGGGAGUACGGCCGCAAAGGCUG